UCAAGGGGGGAACGACAUGUGUGAAGCCGAACUGUCGGAGCACACGAUAAGAAUCGUAGAACUCCCCAACAUCGGCGCAACGUAGGAGACCACGGUAGGUCGUGGCGGGGACCUCAAUGUCGGGAUGAGGUCCAAAAGGAAGCCAACAAACAUCACGGGAAUCCAUGUUAUCGAGGAGGCGACGGUAGUAGUCCAACCUCUCUCGUAGGAAGCCCGCACCCCGACUAGGUGACUCUGCACUGUCCCACCUACCAGCUAAAGCCUCUCCUGCCUUACGCUCCUGUCUAAGCGUCCUCGGAGGCCUGACA
rnacentral:lncRNA from 1 species